CUAGGCGCCCACGCGACCUUUCCUUGUCCCUAGUGCCACGCUGCCUCCUCUAUCCCCUGUGUCCGUUCUGGAGGUUGAGGUCGAGUCCGAGACGAGGCCGCAUCUGUUGCUUGCUCGCUGCCCUAGAGGCCGAGGCGUGGAGCUGUCGCUCUCUGCCUGCGAGGGGGCGGGGGGGAGGGAGGGGGCUCGUGGGGCCUGGAUUGGAUGCCGAGGUGCCAAGCUACCAGCGUUCACCUUUUGCGUAUGCAAGCUCUCCACCAUCGCACCUGCUUAGAGUUCUCCUUUGCCUCUCCUGCCAACAAGGAUUGAGGAGACCGGGUCUAGAUUCUAGACAAGGGGGUGACUGCUGCUAUUUUUUUUGUUAUUUUUUCUCUUUUCUUCCCUUCUGUUGUGUGCUAUAAUGUAUGGCUCGGUUAGUUUGGUUCUAACUAAAAUUGAACCUAAUUAACGGAGACCAAAAUUCAUCGGCUCCCCGUUUUCUAACUGUCGACGAAAGCUAGUCGGCAGUCUACCUUGGGGUAUACCCACGGUAGUAGUUUAUCAGUAGACGGUGCGCAAACUACGAACUCGAUGGUGACGCAAGACACGGACAAGCUUUUUAUCCAGGUUCGGCUGCCGAGUUGGCGUAAUACCUACGUCCUGCGUCUGGUUGUAUUGAUUUGUGUUGAGAGAAUAAUCCUGUCCUAGGGGGGUCCUUGCCCCUCCUUAUAUAGUCUGGAGGGCAGGGUUACAGAUCUGGAAACUAAUCCUAGUCGGUUACAAUUGCCAUGGAUAAUUCGAUAUCAAUUCCUAUUCUAACCGACUAGAAUCC
rnacentral:lncRNA from 1 species